UGGUGGAGUGAUUUGUCUGGUUAAUUCCGAUAACGAACGAGACCUUAACCUGCUAAAUAGUCCGGCCGGCUUCGGCUGGUCGCUGACUUCUUAGAGGGACUAACAGCGUUUAGCUGUUGGAAGUUUGAGGCAAUAACA
rnacentral:rRNA from 1 species